UAUAUAUAUAUAUAUAUAUAUAUAUAUAUAUAUAUAUAUAUAUAUACUAGGUGUAUCGUUAUGUGUAAUAUCAGCUGAAAUUUAUGUAAAAUUGAGCUUUCAAUACUAAUUUUGUAAAACAUUUUAAAAUGUUCAUAAAAUAUACUGCUUUUUAUCGAUAAACUUUGAGUUUGAACUAAAACCAUUUCAAAUGAUGUGAUACUCUCAUCACCAACAUAGUUAUUAUAUACAUGCUCUCUUUUUUAUUUAAAGUUUUUUUAAUAAUAUAUUAAAAACAAUAGGGUAAUUAAUAAUGGAACUAACAUCACGACUGUUGCAAAUACUGAUCAAGUUCGCGAAGAGAACGUUUCCCGCGCUUUUACGCAAUUGCGGUUGAAAAGAGGUCUUAAUGUUGCAAAUCCUUUUCAUUACUUCAUCAUAUCGUUUGGUUUGUUUUAUAAUCGACAAAACGUCUGAAAAGUUUCGAAAAAAUUGCAGGAAUUUUCUGUCCCCGGGUGUAAGUAGCCGAGUGGAAUUAGUACCCUCGGAAACGGCGCUUCGUGCCGUUGGCUCGGGCAUAACUGAAUUACAUAUUGAAAUUUGUUUCAUUAAAAUUAAAUGUAUGCAGUAGAGUGAAGAGUUUUAGAUGUAUCUUAAUUAAUUAAAAGACAAAAUACCAG